AAAAGGAAGCUUACGACCAAUGUUGAUAAGGCUAUUGGGGAAACACGUCAGGAAAAGUCCCUUUGAAACAACUCUACUAUAGCAUUGCAAUAAAGAUGUGUAUAAAUGAUCUGAUGUCUUGAGCUGUCUUAGUUACGUCAUGCCAAAAACGCAGUACCGUGUGCUUUACAUUACGAGAACAUAAAUGUUAAACUCAUAGCUGAAGGAAAGUGCUCUGCUCCUCUUUUUGUGCUGGAAGCUGACACUUUUACUCUUCUGAACAUUUUCAGGUUUUACAAAUUUCCAUGUUUGUACUUAAUAACUCUAAUAUACUGCAUAUCUUUUGGAUCUAUUUUUUGUACCAGACCUUGAUAAUGUCGUCGGAACACAUACCUUUAUUAUCUUCCAUGGAUCAAGAAGAC